CAUCAUCAUAUAGACAAAUACAUCAAACAAUUCCAAUUAUGUGUCACAUACCAAUUAUCAUAUAAUGUACACAUAACCUAAUGCAAAUCUAAUGCUUCAACUUCAUGCUAUGUCAUCCUAGACAUUUCUAAUGCAUGUGGUACCAUCUUCUUUAUUAGAGUAUCUCACCUCUAAUAACCUUCUUUAUCGGAUAAAUAUAAUCCGAUAUCCUUCUUUAUUGGAAUAUCCAAUAUCACAUAUAUUCAUGAAUGCAUGUAUGUAUUUCAUGAAUUCACUCACAAUCAAUAGCAUUAAGCUCUUCAUUUACUAAUGUGGAACACUAUCCAACAUUACAUCUUUAUUAAGAUAACACUAUACCUUAAUAUCCUUCUUUA
rnacentral:lncRNA from 1 species